GUCCUACACAAAGAAGGUGAGUCAUCCCCUGCAAGCUCUGUUUUGAUCAUCUCUCUCCUUCUCUGAACCCUGCAGGAUCUCUGAGUUUCUGCUUACGUCAAAUCAAAACUGAUCAUGAGUCACUCUUUAUCUAACUGUCCUCCACUUUCAUCAUAGCCUGAUUGUUCUCUCUGCUUAAUUCAAGCUGCCUGGCUCCUUUUUCAGAGCGCAUACAUGCUGUCUCUCUUCUCCAGGGCAUUCAGAGAGCCUUCCGCCCACCUGGCAUGUUUCCGCUCCUCUGUGCCAUGCCAGUCCGCUGCUGCUUGCUUCAGAGCCCAGCACAAUCCUCUCCUCCCUCUGAAAGGCUUUCUGGCUUUGCACAUGCUCAUCUCAGUCACUCCAGCAAACCUCUCCCCACUAUCUUACUCCAUCUUUACAUGCCACCACUGAGCAUUACUGGCCCCAGCAGCACAAAUGCAGUCACUGUUCUGUCACUGACAGAAGCAAUAUGCCACUCAAUGACUAUGAUCUGAAACCAACACUUCUGAUUCUUUACUGAGGAAUCCUAUACACCUGCUUGCACGUCUCAACCACUUUUUUUUAAAGGUAAGAGUUAUUUUAGUGCCUAAACCACAAAUGGCAAGAGGUUAGUAGUUCAUGAUGAAGCCUUGAAAAACGGUAUGCCGUGUUGGCUAUAUUUUAUAAAUACAGACAGUUAGAAAGAGGGAGGAAGAAAUGUAUCAUCUGUCAGUUCAUGGCUGGGAAUGACUCUAUUAAUUGUAGCAGGUUAGGGCAGUAGGACCUACUGCUAGAGUCAGUUAACUGUGAUCACCAGGAAAAAGGCCAAAUCAACAGGAAGAACAUGGUAUUUCCAGGUGCAGGCAAGAGUCACAAUGACCAGGCAAGUGAUGACCAUUGGAGUUCAACAAGUGGACAGAGGAAAGCUAUGGGAAACUGGGGGGCUGGUGACAUGCAGAGACCUUGGGUACAAAAAGGCAGUUGGUGCUGAGAAUAACUUGGAUCACAGGGAAGGAUCUUAACCAUUGGGCUGGACAGGGGAAAUGAUGACUCCGUUCCAAAAUGGUUUGGGGCACUAAUCAGGUUAUAACAGGCAGGUAAUCCUAAAACUGGCUGGCCAGGAGACAGGACAGGUCCAGGUUACCAUAAUCGAGACCCACUCAGCAGAGACCAGACCAGAAUUGCAAAAUUAAGAUUCACAUUUUACCUAUUUUACAAAUGGCAAGUCGUUAUGCAUUAACAGCAACUAUAACUUGAUGUUGGCCCCAGUGUUUUGGACUUGAGUCCCCUAAAUUCCUCUCGCUCAGAUUAGGAACUGUAUCUCAAAACUGGGAGUGGAGUUCAGAGCAUAAAUGUGAUGGUCAAGUGUCUUUAGUUGUGGAAAAGAAACACUUGUAGGCAAAAUUGAAAAACAAUGGUUGCAAAGAGGUAUGUUGAGUGUUUGAAAU
rnacentral:lncRNA from 1 species